UAUAUGAAUGGAGUUCUAAUUGUGGAGAAAAUUCGACAGUAUUCAAAAGUAACACAUAAAAAUAAGAACAAAAAACAGGAUGCAUUCAGUGCAAAGAGAGUAAAGCAGAGAUCGUGUAUAUGGGCUUUUUUGAAGACCAUCAAAGCUAUUAUCUGAAUCUUAAUCUGCAACUUAACUUGGCAUCAGAGAUCAGGACAAUGAGAAAGGGUGAUCUCAUAUAAAUACUUAACACUGACUUAUGGACAUGAUGAUGAGGGGGAGGACCAGAUGGUACAGUAGAUGAAGAUGCAAAGAAGCUUUUGACAUUUGAACUCUAUUUUUCGUAUUAGAUGAUACUUAACACUAGUUCUCAACAAACAUCUUAUUCAUAUUUUCCGUUUAGUUGAGACUUCAAAUCAUUCAUCAUUAUUCCUUUCCUAGCAUGAAUUCUUGAGAUUCCUUGUAGUUUAGUUGGUUGUAUCAUUGUUGAUUUUUAAUGCUUGCUACCAAAUUCAUCAUUGA